rnacentral:rRNA from 1 species
GAUGAACGCUAGCGAUAGGCUUAACACAUGCAAGUCGAGGGGUAACAUGAUUGAAGCUUGCUUCAAUUGAUGACGACCGGCGCACGGGUGCGUAACACGUAUGCAACCUACCUAUAAAUGAGGAAUAACCCGGAGAAAUUCGGACUAAUACCUCAUAGUAUUUAGAAGAGGCAUCUCUUUUAUCUUAAAGAAUUUCGUUUAUAGAUGGGCAUGCGCAUGAUUAGUUAGUUGGCGGGGUAACGGCCCACCAAGACAACGAUCAUUAGGGGUUCUGAGAGGAAGAUCCCCCACACUGGUACUGAGACACGGACCAG